UUAUUCUAUCCCCAAUCUGACGAGGCCAAAAUAUUAAUCUGAGUGAUUUCAUCAGACCCAAUGCAAACCAUAUAAAGGCUGAACUCAACCCAUGGAUGGGCAGCGAGGCGCAAGGGAAAGAAUAAGCCAUUUUGUCAUCCUUGGGUUGUCUGCCGGUUUUCAAGUGGGUUUCAUCUUUAUGAGCUACCCCGCUUUGUCAAGAUUCAUAAUGCCCCAUUGCCCC
rnacentral:lncRNA from 1 species